rnacentral:rRNA from 1 species
UACGUAGGGUGCGAGCGUUGUCCGGAAUUACUGGGCGUAAAGAGCUCGUAGGUGGUUUGUCGCGUUGUCCGUGAAAACUCACAACUCAAUUGUGGGCGUGCGGGCGAUACGGGCAGACUGGAGUACUGCAGGGGAGACUGGAAUUCCUGGUGUAGCGGUGGAAUGCGCAGAUAUCAGGAGGAACACCGGUGGCGAAGGCGGGUCUCUGGGCAGUAACUGGCGCUGAGGAGCGAAAGCGUGGGGAGCGAACAGG